rnacentral:rRNA from 1 species
AGUGAACGCUGGCGGUAGGCCUAACACAUGCAAGUCGAACGGCAGCGCAGUAAGAGCUUGCUCUUACGGGUGGCGAGUGGCGGACGGGUGAGGAAUACAUCGGAAUCUACUUUUUCGUGGGGGAUAACGUAGGGAAACUUACGCUAAUACCGCAUACGACCUACGGGUGAAAGCAGGGGAUCUUCGGACCUUGCGCGAUUGAAUGAGCCGAUGUCGGAUUAGCUAGUUGGCGGGGUAAAGGCCCACCAAGGCGACGAUCCGUAGCUGGUCUGAGAGGAUGAUCAGCCACACUGGAACUGAGACACGGUCCAGACCCCUACGGGAGGCAGCAGUGGGGAAUAUUGGACAAUGGGCGCAAGCCUGAUCCAGCCAUACCGCGUGGGUGAAGAAGGCCUUCGGGUUGUAAAGCCCUUUUGUUGGGAAAGAAAAGCAGCAGGUUAAUACCCCGCUGUUCUGACGGUACCCAAAGAAUAAGCACCGGCUAACUUCGUG